rnacentral:rRNA from 1 species
GAUGAACGCUGGCGGCAUGCCUAAUACAUGCAAGUCGAACGAGAGGAAGGAAAGCUUGCUUUUCUGAAUCUAGUGGCGAACGGGUGAGUAACUCGUAGGUAACCUGCCCAUGUGCCCGGGAUAACUUCUGGAAACGGAUGCUAAAACCGGAUAGGUAGCAGACAAGCAUUUGACUGCUAUUAAAGUGGCUAAGGCCAUGAACAUGGAUGGACCUGCGGUGCAUUAGCUAGUUGGUGAGGUAACGGCCCACCAAGGCGACGAUGCAUAGCCGGCCUGAGAGGGCGGACGGCCACAUUGGGGCUGAGAAAGGGCCCAAACUCCUACAGGAGGCAGCAGUAGGGAAGUUUCGUCAAUGGGGGGAAACCUGAACGAGCAAUGCCGCGUGAGGGAGGAAGGUCUUCGGAGCGUAAAGCUCUGUUGUAAGAGAAAAACUACAUUCAUAGGGAAUGGUGAGUGAGUGAUGGUAUCUUACCAGAAAGUCACGGCUAACUACGUGCCAGCAGCCGCCGUAA